UACUAAGACACCUUGCCCUUCCUAUUAAAAUCAUUCCUCCCUAUUUAGAGACUCUUCUCUUCCUACUUAUUAAAACCCCAUCACUCUCCCUUUCGACCUUUCUCUAUUAAACCCUGCUCAUCUAUAAAAUAGUAUCCUCUAUUAAAAGCCUCUCUGCUGCCACACCCUAAUCUUGUUCAUGACUCCAUCCCCUACUCACUAUUAAUGCCCCCUCUCUCUAUUAAGAUGCCCUCCCCAUUUUCUCCAGUAAACCCCUUCUCCAUUAAGAGGUUGGCACGAAGCUCUAGGAAGAUGCUCUGUAGAAUGGACAGAGGUCGAAAUUUAAAUUUUUUGUUCUAUACAGCCGGAAUAGAAGAUUUUGAAAUUUGCUAUUCCUUCUGAAAAUCCACUAUUCCUUAAUUUACUGUUUCUGAGAGCCUGUUCACGCAGGGUCCGCGUUAAUGUUCUGAUUUUCGUAAAAUCAUCCUUGAGACUCCCAAAGUGAACUGAAUAAUUGAUUAACAAAAAAUAAACAUGUACAGUUAUGGUACAAAUAAAAACGAUCCAUUCUUAUUUGCCACAGUCGGAUGAGCAAGACAAAAUUCGCAAA